AUACGGAGGAUCCGAGCGUUAUCCGGAUUUAUUGGGUUUAAAGGGUGCGCAGGCGGCCAUUUAAGUCAGCGGUUAAAUCGUGGGGCUCAACCCCAUUCUGCCGUUGAUACUGGGUGGCUUGAUUGCGGUCGAGGUUGGCGGAAUUCGUUGUGUAGCGGUGAAAUGCAUAGAUAUGACGAAGAACACCGAUUGCGUAGGCAGCUGACCAGACCGCAAAUGACGCUCAUGCACGAAAGUGCGGGGAUCGAACAGGAUUAGAUACCCUGGUAGGCCUCACAGUAAACGAUGAAUGCUUGUUUUCGGCGAUAUAAUGUCGGAGGCAAAGCGAAAGCGAUAAGUAUUCCACCUGGGGAGUACGCCGGCAACGGUGAAACUCAAAGGAAUUGACGGGG
rnacentral:rRNA from 1 species